rnacentral:lncRNA from 1 species
GAAUAAUCCAGUCGUUAUAUUACGAUCACUUCGAUCACACUCACGAGAAAAGUAGUAGAUAGAGGGCACUGAAUUAUUCGAGUUGGGUCUAGUUGAGUUUCGAAUGUUUGUGAAAGAAUUAAUGAAAAUCGACGUCAUACUAAACUCCAAAAAUUAAACACAUAAAUGAACUAUACAAAUCCUUGAAUGAACUAAAAUUAAAAACAAC